ensembl:misc_RNA 7SK 7SK RNA
GCAUGUGUUUCUCCUCUCGUCACGAUUUCAUGUUUGUCCCUUACAAAGCUAUAUACUUGAUGAAAGCGGAAGCACUUCCUGGAUAAGGGCUCUAAAUCUAAUCUUUCUGGAUAAGACCCUCUGUUCAAGGAUCUGUGGGUAGGCCUAAAUGGUUAAUAGAACCUCCAAACAAAUCUCAAGAAUCACUGAUAGGAGAAAGUAAGCUUGUCAAACUUAAGUUAAAAUAUUUAAGACCAGGUCUUAAA